rnacentral:rRNA from 1 species
AUUGAACGCUGGCGGCAGGCCUAACACAUGCAAGUCGAACGAGUGGCGGACGGGUGAGUAAUGUCUGGUAAACUGCCUGAUGGAGGGGGAUAACUACUGGAAACGGUAGCUAAUACCGCAUACCAUCGGAUGUUCCCAGAUGGGAUUAGCUAGUAGGUGGGGUAACGGCUCACAUAGGCGACGAUCCCUAGCGGGUCUGAGAGGAUGACCAGCCACACUGGAACUGAGAAACGGUCCAAACGCGUACGGGAGGCAGCAGGGGGGAAUAUUGCAAAAGGGGGGCAAGCCUGAUGCAGCCAUGCCGCGUGUAUGAAGAGGGCCUUCGGGUGGUAAAGUACUUUAAGCGGGGAGGCGUUACCCGAAGAGGAAGCACCGGCUAACUCCGUGCCAGCCGCCGCGGUAAUUC